AAUAAGUGUUUUACUGCACUUUUUAAAAAUAGUACUCACCUUGUGUGCAAUGUUGUGUUUCUUUUCGGAGAAACACCUACACCAACCUAUAACCUUGAACCACUUUGUCUGAAAAACUAUUAUGAAUACUUAAUUCAAAAUACAACUUUCAACAACGGAUCUCUUGGCUCU
rnacentral:misc_RNA from 1 species